UUUCAUUAAACGAACCAAAAGAAUAUAAAGACAAGUUGUUUACAGUAUCGUUUGCUUCGAGUCUCAUCUCUGUACUAGCCAUUCUCUUCUCAGUUUCGUGCCUCAUCUCGCCAAGGUGGUGUUAAGCCAAAAUUACAAGUACUACAAUUCUCGACACCAUGGUGCAAAAGUGGUUUUUCGACAGAAAGGGUUGGGCGAAGCCGGCAACUCAGCACACGAUGUCCCUCAAAGACAAGUUAGUAAAAGCCAUAACUCGACACACUCAGAAGAUGAAGAAAUCUCGAUGGAAGAGGCAGUUACCGAAUAACAAGCAACUACAAGCACGUGCGUACACCCACAAUGCCACGAAUAGCAACGGUUGCCCACGACUCAGAACCAUCCACGUGGCAAUAGAGUCACGUGCGCGAAGACCAUCGGCUAAACGUGGGGUAUGGCGCCAAAAUUCAAAACCACGAAGCCAUCGUGCAUCCAAGGAAAACCGCCAAGAACAUGGGCAGAAAGAACAAUAUAAAUAGAGGAAGCAGCAGCAGAAGAAAAGGUUCCCAACUAAAGACUCUGAAAAUUCACCAAAAGCUCUAAACGUCCGCAUCAAUGAGACUUCGAGAGCAGAACGUGAUGAUGGAGGAGUAUGUUGCAGAACCAACGCUUUAGUUUCCCUGCAUUUCAGUUUGUUGAUUUCCAGUUCUUGCGUGUAGUUUGUUUUGUCGAAAUUUGCUUUCAUGCUAUUUUAGUUUGCUUGACUGUUUUGUAAUCGACUCAUAUUCAAUAAAGUCCAGUUUCGUUUGAGUU